rnacentral:rRNA from 1 species
GAUGAACACUGGCGGCGUGCCUAAUACAUGCAAGUCGAGCGAACAGACGAGGAGCUUGCUCCUCUGACGUUAGCGGCGGACGGGUGAGUAACACGUGGAUAACCUACCUAUAAGACUGGGAUAACUUCGGGAAACCGGAGCUAAUACCGGAUAAUAUAUUGAACCGCAUGGUUCAAUAGUGAAAGACGGUUUUGCUGUCACUUAUAGAUGGAUCCGCGCCGCAUUAGCUAGUUGGUAAGGUAACGGCUUACCAAGGCAACGAUGCGUAGCCGACCUGAGAGGGUGAUCGGCCACACUGGAACUGAGACACGGUCCAGACUCCUACGGGAGGCAGCAGUAGGGAAUCUUCCGCAAUGGGCGAAAGCCUGACGGAGCAACGCCGCGUGAGUGAUGAAGGUCUUCGGAUCGUAAAACUCUGUUAUUAGGGAAGAACAAAUGUGUAAGUAACUAUGCACGUCCUGACGGUACCUAAUCAGAAAGCCACGGCUAACUACGUG